rnacentral:lncRNA from 1 species
AGACGCGCCCGGAGGCAGACGGCCUCCGCCCCUCUCCCGCCUCAAGUGGACAAAUCCGCUCCACAGCGAACCACGGACUCGGGGCACGCCGACGCCCACACUCACCUGGUGCGCGAAGCCCCGGAGGUGAGCCAUGUCCCCGCUGACGUGACCUGUCCGUCGCAGCCGCUCCGCCCGCUCGCCUCAAGCACCUGCGAGAAACCGCAGGCCGCUCGGUCAACAGCGGCCCGGGGGACCCGUUCCGUGGCGUCCCUCCACCCGCGACCUCCGGUCCCGCGCCCAGGGCCCCCGACCCGCCCUCAGGGCGUGCCCGGCCUCCCCAACAUUCAGGCGAGGCCCGCUGGCAGCGCCCACCUCCGGGCGGCUCCAUCCCGGACUCCCGGCCCGCUUCGCAGUCCCCACGGCGGCUCACACCGCAAUUCGGUCUCCCGGAACGCCCAGGCCUCCCAGCCCGUGAGGUAGAGGCAGCGGCUCUGAGCAGGGCGUCGUGGCGAGCGCGAAGCUCUGUGGGACUAGGAGUCCCGCAGCCCGCCCCGUACCCCGGGCACGCAAAAUUGAGACUACAAGUCCCAGCAGGCUGCGCGGUAGGAUGAGGAGUUACGCAAGUGCUCCGGGGCCCUGAUGGCGUCAGACUACCAGUCCCAGGAGAACUUGCGGUGGGCGGUCAGUGGAGAGGCACAAAUGCGCCACAGACUGGAUCCGAACCUUGAGAGACGCCCGACCUGGGCCGCCCCUCCUGUCAGGCCGCGGGGUGUGACGGGUGCAGCGCGUGCGCAGCUGCCUUGACGUUUUCUAGGCUUUUUUUUUUUCCUCCUUUUUUUCAGCCCUCCUCUCAUUUUCCCAGUUCUGUUUGCCAAGCCUCUGAGACUCAUAACUGUGUGCCUGGAGUGCGAACCCACAUUACCCUCAGAUCCUGGUGCUCCAGCUUUAAUUAACCGCAGUGUGACCUUCUUGUCUGCACUUAGCAACACACACACACACACACACAAAAGGAGUACGCCCACGGGCGCCCUUAGAAAAGUCGCCCAUUGCUUGGACAAGUGCUUCUCUCCUGCCUCAGUUUCCCUAUCUGAAAAGGUGUAAUCGUAGGUCCCCAGGACAUGACCUGGUGCUGGGAAGAGUUGUGUGGUCCAGCAGGGGUUUCCCAAGGUUGGAAGAUGCCCUUCAUCCUGUGAAUUCAGUAUGAGUGACCUAGUCAGCAAUGUCCACUUCUAUGCAGUCUCCUAGUGUUCCACGGGAGGGAGAUUUGGCUCCAUACUGUGUCCAUUCCUAUGACGGCUCAGUGCAAACCACCAUAAUGUCUCCACUCCCCAACUCAUAAAGGCUUUUUGUUUCUGUU